rnacentral:rRNA from 1 species
UGCAGUCGAACGGAAAGGCCCUUCGGGGUACUCGAGUGGCGAACGGGUGAGUAACACGUGGGUGAUCUGCCCUGCACUUUGGGAUAAGCCUGGGAAACUGGGUCUAAUACCGAAUACACCCUUCUGGCUGCAUGGUCUGGGAGGGGAAAGCUUUUGCGGUGUGGGAUGGGCCCGCGGCCUAUCAGCUUGUUGGUGAGGUUACGGCUCACCAAGGCGACGACGGGUAGCCGGCCUGAGAGGGUGACCGGCCACACUGGGACUGAGAUACGGCCCAGACUCCUACGGGAGGCAGCAGUGGGGAAUAUUGCACAAUGGGCGCAAGCCUGAUGCAGCGACGCCGCGUGAGGGAUGACGGCCUUCGGGUUGUAAACCUCUUUCGCCAGGGACGAAGCGCAAGUGACGGUACCUGGAGAAGAAGGACCGGCCAACUACGUGCCAGCAGCCGCGGUAAUACGUAGGGUCCGAGCGUUGUCCGGAAUUACUGGGCGUAAAGAGCUCGUAGGUGGUUUGUCGCGUUGUCCGUGAAAACUCACAGCUCAACUGUGGGCGUGCGGGCGAUACGGGCAGACUGGAGUACUGCAGGGGAGACUGGAAUUCCUGGUGUAGCGGUGGAAUGCGCAGAUAUCAGGAGGAACACCGGUGGCGAAGGCGGGUCUCUGGGCAGUAACUGACGCUGAGGAGCGAAAGCGUGGGGAGCGAACAGGAUUAGAUACCCUGGUAGUCCACGCCGU